GAUGAACGCUGGCGGCGUGCCUAAUACAUGCAAGUCGAGCGAACGGACGAGAAGCUUGCUUCUCUGAUGUUAGCGGCGGACGGGUGAGUAACACGUGGAUAACCUACCUAUAAGACUGGGAUAACUUCGGGAAACCGUAGCUAAUACCGGAUAAUAUUUUGAACCGCAUGGUUCAAAAGCGAAAGACGGUCUUGCUGUCACUUAUAGAUGGAUCCGCGCUGCAUUAGCUAGUUGGUAAGGUAACGGCUUACCAAGGCAACGAUGCAUAGCCGACCUGAGAGGGUGAUCGGCCACACUGGAACUGAGACACGGUCCAGACUCCUACGGGAGGCAGCAGUAGGGAAUCUUCCGCAAUGGGCGAAAGUCUGACGGAGCAACGCCGCGUGAGUGAUGAAGGUCUUCGGAUCGUAAAACUCUGUUAUUAGGGAAGAACAUAUGUGUAAGUAACUGUGCACAUCUUGACGGUACCUAAUCAGAAAGCCACGGCUAACUACGUG
rnacentral:rRNA from 1 species